rnacentral:lncRNA from 1 species
CUAUGCCACCAUUUUUGCUCCCUACAGCCUCUACUCAACGAGUAGCUACUCAUCAGCAUCCUUGGAGAGGCUUGCUGAUAUGAUCUUAGCCAGAGUUAGUGUCGACAUAUGAGCAUUAUUUGAGAAGGUAGAUGGUGAUCGAUCGGAUUGAGAUGAGGUCUAUAUUAGAGAGACUCAUUGUGUUAGAGCAGAGAGAGUAGAUGCACUAGUGGAUCUAUCUGAUGUGACUAGUG